rnacentral:rRNA from 1 species
CCUACGGGAGGCAGCAGUGGGGAAUAUUGGGCAAUGGGCGCAAGCCUGACCCAGCAACGCCGCGUGAAGGAAGAAGGCUUUCGGGUUGUAAACUUCUUUUGUCAGGGAAGAGUAGAAGACGGUACCUGACGAAUAAGCCACGGCUAACUACGUGCCAGCAGCCGCGGUAAUAAGUAGGUGGCAAGCGUAUUCCGGAUUUACUGGGUGUAAAGGGCGGGUAGCCGGGUUGACAAGUCAGAUGUGAAAUCCUUCGGCUUAACCGCAGAACUGCAUUUGAAACUGUUGAUCUUGAGUACUGGAGAGGCAGACGGAAUUCCUAGUGUAGCUGUGAAGUGCGUAGAUAUUAGGAGGAACACCAGUGGCGAAGGCGGUCUGCUGGACAGCAACUGACGGUGAGGCGCGAAAGCGUGGGGAGCAAACAGGAUUAGAUACCCUGGUAGUC